UCAUAUCAGAGCCAAACGACCGUCAUCUUGCCUCAGUCACCUCCUCCGCCUCGCAGGGAAAGCAUCAUGGCGAGCGCGUUACUCCGCUACUUUAUCGGCUUGCAUCCACGUGGUCCUCCCAAUGGUUGAAGGCAAUCGGUGGAAUGCACUGAAGACAAAGGGUAUCAAAUGAUCGAAGCAAGUUGGCAAAAUGGGCGACUACCCAAAGGAAGCAUAUCGUCAAAAUGGGCAGAAAGCAAAGGUUUCAUGGACGAGGGUGCUUGGCCUAUGCGAUGAAUCGAAGAGAUUAUCUGAAGGCCUGAAGCACAUCAGUAAAUUGACUUAAUGAAGAUGAGAUUUGCUGGGAAGAGUGUGCAGUCUGCUAGACUAAGCUGAAGGUUCAAGUAAAUUUUUGAAGCAUAUCGGCAGAAAUGGAUGACUCUUGAAUAAAGGAGUUGAUACUGGCAAAAGAAUACCUGGAGACUAAGAUUCUACUGGCAUUUAUUGGCAAGUUUCAAGAUGGUCUGUGACUGAAAGAUGGCUUUCUUCACUGUGGUGGUCCAAGAUUUUUUUUUCUCCACUAACCUGGAAGGAAUGGUGUGGAGGAAGGGACUCGUGUGCUUGGUGUAUGGCAGAUGGAAGUGAUUAAAGGACUGACUGCUAUAGGGUACUGAGUUGGAUAAAUGGCUUCUUCCAUGACCAGGAAAAAAUGCAAGUAUGUGGAGCAAACAGGAGGCCCUAUAGCUGGAGUUUCCCCAACCCCUCUCCUUAUCCCUCGGGGCAGUGCACCAAAUGAGGGAAUGCCAGGACGGAUACCCCUUUUUGGUACAUGCCACAUUUUGCAAUUUUUUGUUGCAGUGAACCUCCUGCAAUGGACGUGUCUGUGUGUAGACCUGUAAUAAAAGUAUCGUGUGGUUCUGCAUGAUAUUAUUCCAAGGUGUGCCUGCUGCUUUUUGUCAAUAAAACCUUGUGUGUUA